GAUCAUGGCUCACCCCCCCCCGGAUGAACGCUAGCUACAGGCUUAACACAUGCAAGUCGAGGGGAAACGAUAUUGGAAGCUUGCUUCCGAUAGGCGUCGACCGGCGCACGGGUGAGUAACGCGUAUCCAACCUGCCCAUCACUUGGGAAUAACCUUGCGAAAGUAAGACUAAUGCCCAAUGACAUUUAUAGAAGGCAUCGGAAAUGAAUUAAAGAUUUAUCGGUGAUGGAUGGGGAUGCGU
rnacentral:rRNA from 1 species